GCAGCAAACCGAAAUGCAUGACUGAUUUAACAAUAAAAGCAACAUUAUGUAACAAUUUUAGAUAACCUUAAACAAGUGCCAUUAGCAUGAAAUUACCUCUCUCUGUCUCCCUCCCUCCCUCUCUCUCUCUCUCUCUCUCUCUCUCUCUCUCUCUCUCUCUCUCUCUCUCUCUCCUUUAACGAGAAAGUAACUGGUGUGGUAUAUUCCGACCCGACUGUAACCCAUUUAACGGGAUGAUACGGAGCGCAAACCUCCGUGAGAGGUGUGAAACACGCAAGGGGUUAAUAUGAAGGGAAUAUAAACUGGUGUUAAUAUGUGUGAAUAUAAACUGGUGUUAAUAUGAACUCGUGUCAGUAUGUGUUAAUAUGAACUCGUAUUAAUAUGUGUGAAUAGAACUCGUGUUUGUAAUAUCUGUUGUGACUGUUUGUCACACGGUGCACACCGUAGCCCAAGGUGUACGUUGAGAAAUGACGUAUUGACGGCAGUUGGAAAAAACCCGGUGAAUAAACCAGCACGGAGUAAAGUCGGUCGUCAGCCUGAGUUUAUACUAAAGUAUAUAAGUUAAGUUUAUGUAUGCCAGAGGGCAAAACAUUACAGUGUUAAUAUGUGUGAAUAUGAACUAACGAAUGUCCUGAUUGUUUAAACUUUCAUUAUUAAUAUCUUUAUAUAGAGUGCUAAGGUGCUGAUAUAGGAAGAUUGUAGAUGUUCAUCUUUUUCGGAACGCUAAUUAGCUUACUCGUUGAAUGCACACAUUUUACAUAAACAUUCCCCACGUUCCGCUGGCUGGCUAGCUAACAGUACUGCCGUAUUGAAACAGAGGUUAUUUUAAAUUAUUUUACUUUACCAGUGCAGAUAGGCCUACUGCGUGCAUAGAUCCUUUUCGGGUGACAUUUUUGUAUUUGUUUGUCAUUCAGGUAUAUUGCUCCAAACUCAAACUCAAAUGUGUAGGUUUUAUGUGCAUUGUUAUCGAGAUGAUGUGUGCACUGGUGGAUGUUGCUGUGAGUAGGCUCGUUACGAGUCGAAGCAGUGAAAAAGUUCAUUCACAUGGAUCGGCUUAAUUCCGUUAGUUCACUGUAAGAAGGUAGUGUUAACCUUUCCUGCUCUGUCUGUCUCUGACCGUAGUUGGAGACUGCAGGGGAGACUGUAUUCAAUGCUCCAGGGCCGAAGUAUUAACAGUUUAUAACUUCGGGGUUAAUUCCCUUUUCUUUCUCUCUGCUGCUGGUUAGCAAAUCACUGCCCA
ensembl:lncRNA